GUGAGCCAAGAUCCUGCCACUGCACUUUAGCCUGAGCGACAAGACCCAGACUUCGUCUCAAAAAAAAAAAAAAAGAAAAAAAAGAAAAAGAAAAAAGAAAAACAGAAAGCAGGGAAGGGGGAAACAGAGGGGUGUGCAGUUUUACAUUAAAAUAGUAAGGGAAGACCUCACUGAAAAGGUGACAUUUGAGUAGGGAGGUACGAUACUAAAUAAUAUGGACAUGAGGGUAUAAGGUGGGAAUGUUCGAUACUAAGUGAACAGAAAAAACAAAAGUCCUGAAGUUAGAGUGUGCCUGGUGAGUUUAGGGAGUAGCAAGAAAGCUUCUGUGGCUGCAAAAAAAGUAGUUAAAAUCGAGAUCAGCGGAUGAGUUCAAAGAGAUUAUGGUGGGUGAUGUUGGGGAGGGGCAAAAUGGGAUUCACCAGAGGUUUUAUAGGCAUUGUAAGGACUUUGGUUUUUAUUCAGAGUGAGAUGGGGAUCCAUUUCAGCAGAAAGGGAGUAGUUUGGCUCUUGUUGCCCAGGCUAGAGUGCAGUGGCAUGAUCUCAGCUCACUGCAACCUCCAUCCCCCAGGUUCAAGUGAUUCCCCUGUCUCAGCCUCUGGAGUAGCUGGGAUUACAGGCACGUGCCACUACGUCCAGCUAAUUUUUGUAUUUUUGAUAGAGACAGGGUUUCAUCAUAUUGGUCAGGCUUAUCUCGAAUUCCUGAUAUCAGGUAUCCGCGCACCUCAGCCUCCCAAAGUUCUGGGAUUACUGGCGUGAGCCACCGCACCUGGCACUCGCUUGUUUUUAAAAGGUUAUUCUGGUUGCUGCUGAAAUGGGGAUACCAAUUAGAUGACUGUUGUAAUCCAAUGUAAAAUAUUGAUGGCUUAGACCAGGUUAUCGCCAGUGGAAGUAAUAAGUAAUUUAAUUCUAGAUCUAUUUUGAAAGUGGGUCCAGCCAGAUUUCUGUAUGGAUUAAAUGUGGGGUGAGAGAGGAGGAGAAUAAUCAAGAAUGACUUUUUUUUUUUUUUGCUUGA